GGACCCGCACAAGCGGUGGAUGAUGUGGAUUAAUUCGAUGCAACGCGAAGAACCUUACCUGGUCUUGACAUGUCCGAGACCCCCUAAGAGAUUAGGGGGUGCCUUCGGGAAUCGGAACACAGGUGCUGCAUGGCUGUCGUCAGCUCGUGUCGUGAGAUGUUGGGUUAAGUCCCGCAACGAGCGCAACCCUUAUCAUUAGUUGCCAUCAUUAAGUUGGGCACUUUAAUGAGACUGCCGGUGACAAACCGGAGGAAGGUGGGGAUGACGUCAAGUCCUCAUGGCCCUUAUGACCAGGGCUUCACACGUCAUACAAUGGUUGGUACAGAGGGUAGCGAAGCCGCGAGGUGGAGCCAAUCUCAGAAAGCCAAUCGUAGUCCGGAUUGCAGUCUGCAACUCGACUGCAUGAAGUCGGAAUUGCUAGUAAUCGCGGAUCAGCAUGCCG
rnacentral:rRNA from 1 species